GGCCCUAUAGUGCAGUGGUAGCACAUAGAGUCUCUAUACUCUGUAGCUCAGGUUCAAUUCCUGAUAGGUCCA